rnacentral:rRNA from 1 species
GUGCCAGCAGCCGCGGUAAUACGUAGGGGGCAAGCGUUGUCCGGAAUUACUGGGCGUAAAGCGCGUGUAGGCGGGACGACAAGUCUGGCGUGAAAGGCUGGGGCUCAACCCCAGAUCGCCGCUGGAAACUGUCGUUCUUGAGGGUCGAAGAGGAGAGUGGAAUUCCUGGUGUAGCGGUGAAAUGCGUAGAGAUCAGGAGGAACACCCGUGGCGAAGGCGGCUCUCUGGUCGACAUCUGACGCUGAGACGCGAAAGCGUGGGGAGCGAACGGGAUUAGAUACCCUGGUAGUCC